rnacentral:tRNA from 1 species
GCCUGGGUGGCUCAGUUGGUUGGGUGUCCGACUUCGGCUCAGGUCAUGAUCUCACCGUUCGUGGGUUCGAGUCCCACUUUGGGCU